AACGAACGCUGGCGGCGUGCUUAACACAUGCAAGUCGAACGCGAAAGUUUUCUUCGGAAAACGAGUAGAGUGGCGCACGGGUGAGUAACGCGUAAGUUAUCUACCCUCCCAUCUGGAAUAACUCACCGAAAGGUGUGCUAAUACCGGAUACGUUGGAAACAAGAAAGGUGGCCUCUAUUUAUAAGCUACCGUGGGAGGAUGAGCUUGCGUACCAUUAGCUAGUUGGUAGGGUAAUGGCCUACCAAGGCAACGAUGGUUAGCGGGUCUGAGAGGAUAAUCCGCCACACUGGAACUGGAACACGGACCAGACUCCUACGGGAGGCAGCAGUGAGGAAUAUUGCGCAAUGGGGGAAACCCUGACGCAGCGACGCCGCGUGGAUGAUGAAGGCCCUUGGGUCGUAAAAUCCUGUCAGUUGGGAAGAAAUGCAUAUUGGCUAAUACCCACUAUGUUUGACGGUACCAGCAAAGGAAGCACCGGCUAACUCCGUGCCAGCAGCCGCGGUAAAGUCGUACGAUC
rnacentral:rRNA from 1 species